CCUGCCUCAGCCUCCUAAGUGCUGGGACUACAGAUAUGUGCCACCACACCCCGAUUUAUAUUAUACCCUAACACAUUUAUUUUCGUCUACGGUGGCAUCUACAUUUUUGUCAAAGCCAGUGUCCACCCAAGUAAAAGUGACAGCCCAUCCGUGGGCUUUCCGGCAUUCCCUUCACUCCCUUCCUGGAGGUGCAGGACUUGCUGGUGGCUGAGACUCACGAGGUUCCCAG
rnacentral:lncRNA from 1 species